rnacentral:rRNA from 1 species
GCGAAUGGCUCAUUAUAUAAGUUAUCGUUUAUUUGAUAGUACCUUACUACUUGGAUAACCGUGGUAAUUCUAGAGCUAAUACAUGCUAAAAACCCCGACUUCGGAAGGGGUGUAUUUAUUAGAUUAAAAACCAAUGCCCUUCGGGGCUCCUUGGUGAUUCAUGAUAACUUCUCGAAUCGCAUGGCCUUGCGCCGGCGAUGGUUCAUUCAAAUUUCUUCCCUAUCAACUUUCGAUGUUUGGGUAUUGGCCAAACAUGGUUGCAACGGGUAACGGAGGGUUAGGGCUCGACCCCGGAGAAGGAGCCUGAGAAACGGCUACUACAUCCAAGGAAGGCAGCAGGCGCGCAAAUUACCCAAUCCCGACACGGGGAGGUAGUGACAAUAAAUACUGAUACAGGGCUCUUUUGGGUCUUGUAAUUGGAAUGAGUACAAUCUAAAUCCCUUAACGAGGAACAAUUGGAGGGCAAGUCUGGUGCCAGCAGCCGCGGUAAUUCCAGCUCCAAUAGCGUAUAUUAAAGUUGUUGUGGUUAAAAAGCUCGUAGUUGAACCUUGGGCCUGGCUGGCCGGUCCGCCUCACCGCGUGCACUGGUCCGGCCGGGCCUUUCCCUCUGUGGAACCCCAUGCCCUUCACUGGGCGUGGCGGGGAAACAGGACUUUUACUUUGAAAAAAUUAGAGUGCUCCAGGCAGGCCUAUGCUCGAAUACAUUAGCAUGGAAUAAUGAAAUAGGACGUGCGGUUCUAUUUUGUUGGUUUCUAGGACCGCCGUAAUGAUUAAUAGGGACAGUCGGGGGCAUCAGUAUUCAAUUGUCAGAGGUGAAAUUCUUGGAUUUAUUGAAGACUAACUACUGCGAAAGCAUUUGCCAAGGAUGUUUUCAUUAAUCAGGAACGAAAGUUAGGGGAUCGAAGACGAUCAGAUACCGUCGUAGUCUUAACCAUAAACUAUGCCGACUAGGGAUCGGACGAUGUUACUUAUUGACUCGUUCGGCACCUUACGAGAAAUCAAAGUGCUUG